rnacentral:rRNA from 1 species
AUUGAACGCUGGCGGCAUGCUUUACACAUGCAAGUCGAACGGGCUGGGGGGCAACUCCAGUCAGUGGCGAACGGGUGAGUAAUACAUCGGAACGUACCUCGUAGUGGGGGAUAACUCGGCGAAAGCCGUGCUAAUACCGCAUAUGCUCUACGGAGGAAAGCAGGGGACCGCAAGGCCUUGUGCUAUGGGAGCGGCCGAUGUCCGAUUAGCUAGUUGGUGAGGUAAUGGCUCACCAAGGCGACGAUCGGUAGCUGGUCUGAGAGGAUGAUCAGCCACACUGGGACUGAGACACGGCCCAGACUCCUACGGGAGGCAGCAGUGGGGAAUUUUGGACAAUGGGGGCAACCCUGAUCCAGCCAUGCCGCGUGCGGGAAGAAGGCCUGGUGUAACGU